rnacentral:rRNA from 1 species
UACGAAGGGGGCUAGCGUUGCUCGGAAUCACUGGGCGUAAAGGGCGCGUAGGCGGCGUUUUAAGUCGGGGGUGAAAGCCUGUGGCUCAACCACAGAAUGGCCUUCGAUACUGGGACGCUUGAGUAUGGUAGAGGUUGGUGGAACUGCGAGUGUAGAGGUGAAAUUCGUAGAUAUUCGCAAGAACACCGGUGGCGAAGGCGGCCAACUGGACCAUUACUGACGCUGGAGGCGCGAAAGCGUGGGGAGCAAACAGG